UAUUCUCAAAUCUCUUCAUUUUAUGAAGUCGAUUUGGAGUUGGGGGUCUUGCAGGUGAACUCGUUCGUCUGCUCUCCUUGAAUGCAUUAGCUGGAACCUUUUGCUAGACCGGCUUUGGUGUGAUAAUUAUCUGCGCCAUGGUCGUAAGGCGAAUUAUAAAGGAUCUGCUUACAAUCGUCCUUAUGGACAAUUUCUGAC
rnacentral:misc_RNA from 1 species